rnacentral:rRNA from 1 species
CAAGCGUUGUCCGGAUUCAUUGGGCGUAAAGAGCGUGUAGGCGGCCAGGUAGGUCGGUUGUGAAAACUGGAGGCUCAACCUUCAGAGGUCGACCGAAACCAUCUGGCUAGAGUCCGGGAGAGGAGAGUGGAAUUCCUGGUGUAGCGGUGAAAUGCGUAGAUAUGUGGAGGAACACCGAUGGCGAAGGCAGCCCCCUGGGUUAACACUGACGCUCAUGCACGAAAGCGUGGGGAGCAAACAGG